rnacentral:tRNA from 1 species
CGCGAUAUAGACUAAUGGUUAAGUCCCGUGACUCAUGACCACGUAAUACUAGGUUCGAAUCCAGUUAUCGCUU